rnacentral:rRNA from 1 species
UACGUAGGGUGCAAGCGUUAAUCGGAAUUACUGGGCGUAAAGCGGGCGCAGGCGGUUAUGCAAGACAGAUGUGAAAUCCCCGGGCUCAACCUGGGAACUGCAUUUGUGACUGCAUGGCUGGAGUGCGGCAGAGGGGGAUGGAAUUCCGCGUGUAGCAGUGAAAUGCGUAGAUAUGCGGAGGAACACCGAUGGCGAAGGCAAUCCCCUGGGCCUGCACUGACGCUCAUGCACGAAAGCGUGGGGAGCAAACAGG